AAAAAAGGUAAGCUACUAAGAGCGAAUGGUGGAUGCCUUGACUGGUAAAGGCGAUGAAGGACGUACUAGACUGCGAUAAGCUACGGGGAGCUGUCAAGAAGCUUUGAUCCGUAGAUUUCCGAAUGGGGCAACCCAAUGUAUAGAGAUAUACAUUACCUAUAUAGGAGCGAACGAGGGGAAUUGAAACAUCUUAGUACCCUCAGGAAAAGAAAUCAAUAGAGAUUGCGUCAGUAGCGGCGAGCGAAAGCGCAAGAGGGCAAACCCAGUGCUUGCACUGGGGGUUGUAGGACUGCAAUGUGCAAGAGGUAAGUUUAGCAGAACAUUCUGGAAAGUAUAACCAUAGAGGGUGAUAGUCCCGUAUGCGAAAAACAAACCUUAGCUAGCAGUAUCCUGAGUAGGGCGGGACACGAGGAAUCCUGUCUGAAUCCGGGUCGACCACGAUCCAACCCUAAAUACUAAUACCAGAUCGAUAGUGCACAAGUACCGUGAGGGAAAGGUGAAAAGAACUGAGGUGAUCAGAGUGAAAUAGAACCUGAAACCAUUUGCUUACAAUCAUUCAGAGCCCUAUGUAGCAAUACAGGGUGAUGGACUGCCUUUUGCAUAAUGAGCCUGCGAGUUGUGGUGUCUGGCAAGGUUAAGCAAACGCGAAGCCGUAGCGAAAGCGAGUCUGAAUAGGGCGCUUAGUCAGAUGCUGCAGACCCGAAACGAAGUGAUCUAUCCAUGAGCAAGUUGAAGCUAGUGUAAGAACUAGUGGAGGACUGAACCCAUAGGCGUUGAAAAGCCCCGGGAUGACUUGUGGAUAGGGGUGAAAGGCCAAUCAAACUUCGUGAUAGCUGGUUCUCUCCGAAAUAUAUUUAGGUAUAGCGUUGUGUCGUAAUAUAAGGGGGUAGAGCACUGAAUGGGCUAGGGCAUACACCAAUGUACCAAACCCUAUCAAACUCCGAAUACCUUAUAUGUAAUCACAGCAGUCAGGCGGCGAGUGAUAAAAUCCGUCGUCAAGAGGGAAACAACCCAGACUACCAGCUAAGGUCCCUAAAUCUUACUUAAGUGGAAAACGAUGUGAAGUUACUUAAACAACCAGGAGGUUGGCUUAGAAGCAGCCAUCCUUUAAAGAAAGCGUAAUAGCUCACUGGUCUAGUGAUUUUGCGCGGAAAAUAUAACGGGGCUAAAGUAAGUACCGAAGCUGUAGACUUGCACACAACUUAGAUUAUUUAAGUUUAGAAUAUGAGAAACUAAGUUAUAUGUUUAGUUAUAUUUUUACUGAUUUUUAUAGAGUAAAGAUAGAAAUAAAACUUAGUAAAAUCAGUAAAAAUAUUCUUAGACUAAAGUUAAGUAGUUUAAGUUGUGUGCAAGUGGUAGGAGAGCGUUCUAUUUGCGUCGAAGGUAUACCGGUAAGGAGUGCUGGAGCGAAUAGAAGUGAGCAUGCAGGCAUGAGUAGCGAUAAUUAAUGUGAGAAUCAUUAACGCCGUAAACCCAAGGUUUCCUACGCGAUGCUCGUCAUCGUAGGGUUAGUCGGGUCCUAAGUCGAGUCCGAAAGGGGUAGACGAUGGCAAAUUGGUUAAUAUUCCAAUACCAACAUUAGUGUGCGAUGGAAGGACGCUUAGGGCUAAGGGGGCUAGCGGAUGGAAGUGCUAGUCUAAGGUCGUAGGAGGUUAUACAGGCAAAUCCGUAUAACAAUACUCCGAGAACUGAAAGGCUUUUUGAAGUCUUCGGAUGGAUAGAAGAACCCCUGAUGCCGUCGAGCCAAGAAAAGUUUCUAAGUUUAGCUAAUGUUGCCCGUACUGUAAACCGACACAGGUGGGUGGGAUGAGUAUUCUAAGGCGCGUGGAAGAACUCUCUUUAAGGAACUCUGCAAAAUAGCACCGUAUCUUCGGUAUAAGGUGUGGUUAGCUUUGUAUUAGGAUUUACUCCGAAAGCAAGGAAACUUACAACAAAGAGUCCCUCCCGACUGUUUACCAAAAACACAGCACUCUGCUAACUCGUAAGAGGAUGUAUAGGGUGUGACGCCUGCCCGGUGCUCGAAGGUUAAUUGAUGGGGUUAGCAUUAGCGAAGCUCUUGAUCGAAGCCCGAGUAAACGGCGGCCGUAACUAUAACGGUCCUAAGGUAGCGAAAUUCCUUGUCGGUUAAAUACCGACCUGCAUGAAUGGCGUAACGAGAUGGGAGCUGUCUCAAAGAGGGAUCCAGUGAAAUUGUAGUGGAGGUGAAAAUUCCUCCUACCCGCGGCAAGACGGAAAGACCCCGUGGACCUUUACUACAGCUUGACACUGCUACUUGGAUAAGAAUGUGCAGGAUAGGUGGGAGGCUUUGAGUAUAUGACGCCAGUUGUAUAUGAGCCAUUGUUGAGAUACCACUCUUUCUUAUUUGGGUAGCUAACCAGCUUGAGUUAUCCUCAAGUGGGACAAUGUCUGGUGGGUAGUUUGACUGGGGCGGUCGCCUCCCAAAUAAUAACGGAGGCUUACAAAGGUUGGCUCAGAACGGUUGGAAAUCGUUCGUAGAGUAUAAAGGUAUAAGCCAGCUUAACUGCAAGACAUACAAGUCAAGCAGAGACGAAAGUCGGUCUUAGUGAUCCGGUGGUUCUGUGUGGAAGGGCCAUCGCUCAAAGGAUAAAAGGUACCCCGGGGAUAACAGGCUGAUCUCCCCCAAGAGCUCACAUCGACGGGGAGGUUUGGCACCUCGAUGUCGGCUCAUCGCAUCCUGGGGCUGGAGCAGGUCCCAAGGGUAUGGCUGUUCGCCAUUUAAAGCGGUACGCGAGCUGGGUUCAGAACGUCGUGAGACAGUUCGGUCCCUAUCUGCCGUGGGCGUAAGAAGAUUGAAGAGAUUUGACCCUAGUACGAGAGGACCGGGUUGAACAAACCACUGGUGUAGCUGUUGUUCUGCCAAGAGCAUCGCAGCGUAGCUAAGUUUGGAAAGGAUAAACGCUGAAAGCAUCUAAGCGUGAAGCCAACUCUAAGAUGAAUCUUCUCUAAGCUCUCUAGAAGACUACUAGUUUGAUAGGCUGGGUGUGUAAUGGAUGAAAGUCCUUUAGCUGACCAGUACUAAUAGAGCGUUUGGCUUAUCUUUAAUAAAGCAU
rnacentral:rRNA from 1 species